UGAAUACCUUCUGAGGAACAGAAAGUGAAAACAGGAAAUGAUUACACAAAAGAACUGAGAAGAGCAGAUUUUGAAGGUACAACAGUAUGGCUCUACAGUCCGUGAAAGAAGAAGAAAAUCCUGAUAUGCUACAGAUGGUCACCCUGUGGUGCUGGCUGAGAAUCAACAAUGCCCUCACAAACCUCUUGCCAAUCCCAAAUCUGAAUCUAGUCAAAAAUUGUUAGUGUCAGGUACAUACACAUUUAAUGGUGGGCAGUAUUUUUCAGUUCAGAAUUUAUAAUGUGAACAUUCCUGAAACAAAUACCUGGUAUAAAAAUGGUGAAUAUAUGAAUGCGUUCAUGUAGUUUUUAGGUUGAGGGUAUUAAAAAAAUUAGUUAGAAAUAAUAUGAACUGUUUUUGUUUUUUUAUUCCUUAUGAAUGAACAAUAUUACAGCAAAUACUUAAAACAAAUUGGUAGCAAGCAUAGAAAACAGAAAUAUUCACAGCUAGAAAAUCAAGAAGGAGGUGGGUGCAUGUAAGCUAAUUUGAUAAUCGGAUACAUGUUUUGUAACUGAUAUUUUUAAAGAAAAUAAUGAUAGUAAUAAUGAUAGUAAUUAUAGAUCAUUGUUUUCAUAAUACAUAUUAUUCAUUAGAAUUUGCUUAUUUUUUAAAAAUGUAAAACAUGUUGAUUAUCUUACUACAAAAUAUUAUUAGUAUAAUCAUGCUUAGUGUCUAGAAUUGUAUUCAAGAAAAGAUCCUUCUUCUCUGUUGUUUUUAUUGUUGUUCUUUUCUCUUUCUGUUAAUAUUUUAAAAAUUGAAGAGAAAAAAAGAAAAAAGGAGAAAAAAAGAAUGAAAUGUAGGAAACCUCUUGGUGGAAGUAGAAAGUGCUGUCCUUUCAAAAAAAACCCGAAUGUAUUAAAUAAAUUGGAGUCCUCGUAGGCAAUGUUUUUAUUUAAUAAAUUUGGAUUAACAGGUU